UUUUUAUAAUUUAAAAUGGCAGUAAGGAAGCAGACCAAAUGUUUCUUCUACCGAUUGUUUCAGUGCUUAACCAUUCUGAUCUUCUGAUUCCUCAAUCUACAGACCUUGCUUUUAUUGUCUAAUAUUGAACAAUGUUGGUAGUGAGGUUGUGGCUUUAUGAGAAACCAUGAUCCCUUUUCCCAGAAGGAAAGAGACUAUACUGGACAGAAGCAUGUCUACUAAACACGUAGAUAAUUGUAGGAAAUGAAAAGAGAUUGUGUUCAUAAAUUGUUUUGAACCUUUUCCUUGCAAAUACUCUUCAUCAGGCUUUCGUAGAUAUAUCAUAGUUAUCUACCUUGUGGCAACCAAUUGUGGCACUGCCGUAGUUGAUUGCAGCUGGUUGUAUUUGUAGUCUGUAAAAAGAAGAUCAAUACAAGCAUUAU